rnacentral:rRNA from 1 species
CCUACGGGAGGCAGCAGUGGGGAAUCUUGCGCAAUGGGCGAAAGCCUGACGCAGCCAUGCCGCGUGAAUGAUGAAGGUCUUAGGAUUGUAAAAUUCUUUCACCGGGGACGAUAAUGACGGUACCCGGAGAAGAAGCCCCGGCUAACUUCGUGCCAGCAGCCGCGGUAAUACGAAGGGGGCUAGCGUUGCUCGGAAUUACUGGGCGUAAAGGGAGCGUAGGCGGAUAGUUUAGUCAGAGGUGAAAGCCCAGGGCUCAACCUUGGAAUUGCCUUUGAUACUGGCUAUCUUGAGUGUGGGAGAGGUAUGUGGAACUCCGAGUGUAGAGGUGAAAUUCGUAGAUAUUCGGAAGAACACCAGUGGCGAAGGCGACAUACUGGCCCAUUACUGACGCUGAGGCUCGAAAGCGUGGGGAGCAAACAGGAUUAGAUACCCUGGUAGUCCACGCUGUAAACGAUGAGUGCUAGUUGUCGGCAUGCAUGCAUGUCGGUGACGCAGCUACGACAUAAGACACGUCCGCCGUCGGGAGGUACGGUCGCGAAGUAAGUUAAACGUUAACGAAAGUAAGUUAGUUACGGCGUUGAGACGNGACGACGGACGACGACGAGGGAGGAGG